rnacentral:rRNA from 1 species
AGUGAACGCUGGCGGUAGGCCUAACACAUGCAAGUCGAACGGCAGCACAGUAAGAGCUUGCUCUUACGGGUGGCGAGUGGCGGACGGGUGGGGAAUACAUCGGAAUCUACUUUUUCGUGGGGGAUAACGUAGGGAAACUUACGCUAAUACCGCAUACGACCUACGGGUGAAAGCAGGGGAUCUUCGGACCUUGCGCGAUUGAAUGAGCCGAUGUCGGAUUAGCUAGUUGGCGGGGUAAAGGCCCACCAAGGCGACGAUCCGUAGCUGGUCUGAGAGGAUGAUCAGCCACACUGAAAGUGAGACGCGGUCCAGACUCCUGCGAGGGGCAGCAGUGGGAAAUAGUGGACUGUGGGCAAGCCUGAUCCAGCCAUACCGCGUGGGUGAAGAAGGCCUUCGGGUUGUAAAGCCCUUUUGUUGGGAAAGAAAAGCAGCAGGUUAAUACCCCGCUGUUCUGACGGUACCCAAAGAAUAAGCACCGGCUAACUUCGUG